rnacentral:rRNA from 1 species
AUUGAACGCUGGCGGCAGGCCUAACACAUGCAAGUCGAGCGAGCGGCGGACGGGUGAGUAAUGUAUGGGGAACUGCCCGAUAGAGGGGGAUAACUACUGGAAACGGUAGCUAAUACCGCAUACCAUCGGAUGUACCCAUAGGGGAUUAGCUAGUAGGUGGGGUAAAGGCUCACCUAGGCGACGAUCCCUAGCUGGUCUGAGAGGAUGAUCAGCCACACUGGAACUGAGACACGGCCCAGACUCCUACGGGAGGCAGCAGUGGGGAAUAUUGCACAAUGGGCGCAAGCCUGAUGCAGCCAUGCCGCGUGUAUGAAGAAGGCCUUAGGGUUGUAAAGUACUUUCAGCGGGGAGGCGUUACCCGCAGAAGAAGCACCGGCUAACUCCGUGCCAGCAGCCGCGGUAAUAC